CCUACGGGAGGCAGCAGUGGGGAAUCUUGCACAAUGGAGGAAACUCUGAUGCAGCGAUGCCGCGUGAGUGAAGAAGGCCUUUGGGUUGUAAAGCUCUUUCGUCGGGGAAGAAAAUGACUGUACCCGAAUAAGAAGGUCCGGCUAACUUCGUGCCAGCAGCCGCGGUAAUACGAAGGGACCUAGCGUAGUUCGGAAUUACUGGGCUUAAAGAGUUCGUAGGUGGUUGAAAAAGUUAGUGGUGAACUCCCAGAGCUUAACUCUGGAACUGCCAUUAAAACUUUUCAGCUAGAGUAUGAUAGAGGAAAGCAGAAUUUCUAGUGUAGAGGUGAAAUUCGUAGAUAUUAGAAAGAAUACCAAUUGCGAAGGCAGCUUUCUGGAUCAUUACUGACACUGAGGAACGAAAGCAUGGGUAGCGAAGAGGAUUAGAUACCCUCGUAGUCCAUGCCGUAAACGAUGUGUGUUAGACGUUGGAAAUUUAUUUUCAGUGUCGCAGGGAAACCGAUAAACACACCGUCUGGGGAGUACGACCACAAGGUUAAAACUCAAAGGAAUUGACGG
rnacentral:rRNA from 1 species